UUCACAGGUAAGACGAUGGAC
rnacentral:piRNA from 1 species